rnacentral:rRNA from 1 species
UACGAAGGGGGCUAGCGUUGCUCGGAAUCACUGGGCGUAAAGCGCGCGUAGGCGGCUUCUUAAGUCAGGGGUGAAAUCCUGGAGCUCAACUCCAGAACUGCCCUUGAUACUGAGAGGCUCGAGUCCGGGAGAGGUGAGUGGAACUCCGAGUGUAGAGGUGAAAUUCGUAGAUAUUCGGAAGAACACCAGUGGCGAAGGCGGCUCACUGGCCCGGUACUGACGCUGAGGUGCGAAAGCGUGGGGAGCAAACAGG